rnacentral:rRNA from 1 species
GAUGAACGCUGGCGGCGUGCCUAAUACAUGCAAGUCGAGCGAACAGACGAGGAGCUUGCUCCUCUGACGUUAGCGGCGAACGGGUGAGUAACACGUGGAUAACCUACCUAUAAGACUGGGAUAACUUCGGGAAACCGGAGCUAAUACCGGAUAAUAUAUUGAACCGCAUGGUUCAAUAGUGAAAGACGGUUUUGCUGUCACUUAUAGAUGGAUCCGCGCCGCAUUAGCUAGUUGGUAAGGUAACGGCUUACCAAGGCAACGAUGCGUAGCCGACCUGAGAGGGUGAUCGGCCACACUAGAACUGAGACACGGUCCAGACUCCUACGGGAGGCAGCAGUAGGGAAUCUUCCGCAAUGGGCGAAAGCCUGACGGAGCAACGCCGCGUGAGUGAUGAAGGUCUUCGGAUCGUAAAACUCUGUUAUUAGGGAAGAACAAAUGUGUAAGUAACUAUGCACGUCUUGACGGUACCUAAUCAGAAAGCCACGGCUAACUACGUG